ACGAAGGGGGCUAGCGUUGUUCGGAAUUACUGGGCGUAAAGCGCACGUAGGCGGGUCGUUAAGUCAGGGGUGAAAUCCCGGAGCUCAACUCCGGAACUGCCUUUGAUACUGGCGAUCUUGAGAUCGGAAGAGGUGAGUGGAAUUCCCAGUGUAGAGGUGAAAUUCGUAGAUAUUGGGAAGAACACCAGUGGCGAAGGCGGCUCACUGGUCCGAUACUGACGCUGAGGUGCGAAAGCGUGGGGAGCAAACAGG
rnacentral:rRNA from 1 species